CUACGGGACGCUGCAGUAGGGAAUUUUCCGCAAUGGGCGAAAGCCUGACGGAGCAAUACCGCGUGGAGGAAGACGCGUUUCGGCGUGUAAACUCCUUUUCUCAGUGACGAAAUUGACGGUAGCUGAGGAAUAAGCAUCGGCUAACUACGUGCCAGCAGCAGCGGUAAUACGUAGGAUGCAAGCGUUAUCCGGAUUUACUGGGCGUAAAGCGUGUGCAGGCGGUUCGAUAAGUCUAUCGUUAAAGCUCUGCGCUUAACGUGGAAAUCGCGACGGAUACUAUCGAACUAGAGAAGAGUAGAGGAAAACGGAAUUCCCGGUGUAGCGGUAAAAUGCAUUGAUAUCGGGAGGAACACCAGCAGCGAAGGCGGUUUUCUGGCCUCUUUCUGACGCUCAUACACGAAAGCCAGGGGAGCGAAAGGGAUUAGAUACCCUAGUAGUC
rnacentral:rRNA from 1 species